rnacentral:lncRNA from 1 species
AAGGAUCUCGCGUCGCUGCCAGAGCGCUGGGGGCAUUGGUGAGUUCUUCCCGUUUUAACUUUUAGUUUUUGGCUUAGACGAAAAGCUUAAUGACGAUGUAGGAAAUUUCGUGCAAAUCCCACAAGGGAAAGAUCUACUCGAGACGAAGAGCCCGCAAAGGUGGAAGGCUGAAGGCUUUCUUGACAAAAUUUCCUCGACAAGAAGCAGAGUGAAGUGAUGAUCGACAUCAAUGCGCUUGCUGCGAAGCACGAUAAAGUUUUGAGGAUCUAUCCUUCGUUCUCUCGUCGUAGCUAUCAUGAGGAUGAUCGAUCGAAAGGACCUGCAUUGCGAUGAACGAGAUUCACAAAAUUCGGCACUCUGAGACCAGGAAAGGAAACGAAGCGACUAGAGCAAAAAUCAGGGAAGAGCUCACCGUUUUAUACCCCCGGGAAGUGGAAGGCCAACGGCCUGUGGCAACAAGUUUAAUAAUGUUGAUUCAACACAGCAAUCCAGGC